rfam:Schistosoma mansoni strain Puerto Rico chromosome 2, complete genome
AUCCAGCUGAUCAGUCGCAAAUAGGACGAAGUAGUGCGCGUCCUGGAU